rnacentral:rRNA from 1 species
CCCUUAGAUGUUCUGGGCCGCACGCGCGUUACACUGACGGAGUCAACGAGUUGUCCUGCAUCGGAAGGUGUGGGUAAUCUUUUGAAACUUCGUCGUGCUGGGGAUAGAUCUUUGCAAUUUUCGAUCUUGAACGAGGAAUUCCUAGUAAGCGUGAUUCAUCAGAUCGCGUUGAUUACGUCCCUGCCCUUUGUACACACCGCCCGUCGCUACUACCGAUUGAAUGGUUUAGUGAGGCCUCGGGACUGGCGCGCUCGAGUAGCAAUACACCUGCGCGCCGGGAACUUGGUCAAACUUGAUCAUUUAGAGGAAGUAAAAGUCGUANCA